rnacentral:tRNA from 1 species
CCGCCGUUAGCUCACUUGGAUAGAGCAUCAGAUUCCGAUUCUGGGGGCAGGGGGUUCGAAUCCCUCACGGCGGGCCA